rnacentral:rRNA from 1 species
AUAUCAAUAAGCGGAGGAAAAGAAACUAACAAGGAUUCCCCUAGUAACUGCGAGUGAAGCGGGAAAAGCUCAAAUUUAAAAUCUGGUGGUCUUUGGCCAUCCGAGUUGUAAUCUAGAGAAGUGUUAUCCGCGCUGGACCGUGUACAAGUCUCCUGGAAUGGAGCGUCAUAGAGGGUGAGAAUCCCGUCUUUGACACGGACUACCAGGGCUUUGUGAUGCGCUCUCAAAGAGUCGAGUUGUUUGGGAAUGCAGCUCAAAAUGGGUGGUAAAUUCCAUCUAAAGCUAAAUAUUGGCGAGAGACCGAUAGCGAACAAGUACCGUGAGGGAAAGAUGAAAAGAACUUUGGAAAGAGAGUUAAACAGUACGUGAAAUUGCUGAAAGGGAAACGCUUGAAGUCAGUCGCGUUGUCCGGGAAUCAACCUUGCUUUUGCUGGGCGUACUUUCCGGUUGACGGGUCAGCAUCAAUUUUGACCGUUGGAUAAAGUUCAGAGGAAUGUGGCAUCUUCGGAUGUGUUAUAGCCUUUGUUCGCAUACAACGGUUGGGAUUGAGGAACUCAGCACGCCGCAAGGCCGGGUAUUUAUACUACGUUCGUGCUUAGGAUGCUGGCAUAAUGGCUUUAAUCGACCCGUCUUGAAACACGGACCAAGGAGUCUAACAUGCCUGCGAGUGUUUGGGUGGAAAACCCGAGCGCGUAAUGAAAGUGAAAGUUGAGAUCCCUGUCGUGGGGAGCAUCGACGCCCGGACCAGACCUUUUGUGACGGAUCCGCGGUAGAGCAUGUAUGUGGGACCCGAAAGAUGGUGAACUAUGCCUGAAUAGGGUGAAGCCAGAGGAACUCUGGUGGAGGCUCGUAGCGAUUCUG